rnacentral:rRNA from 1 species
GACGAACGCUGGCGGCGUGCUUAACACAUGCAAGUCGAACGAAGAGCGAUGGACGCUUGCUUCUAUCACUCUUAGUGGCGAACGGGUGAGUAACGCGUAAUCAACCUGCCCUUCAGAGGGGGACAACAGUUGGAAACGACUGCUAAUACCGCAUACGAUCUAAUCUCGGCAUCGAGGAUAGAUGAAAGGUGGCCUCUACAUGUAAGCUAUCACUGAAGGAGGGGAUUGCGUCUGAUUAGCUAGUUGGAGGGGUAACGGCCCACCAAGGCGAUGAUCAGUAGCCGGUCUGAGAGGAUGAACGGCCACAUUGGGACUGAGACACGGCCCAGACUCCUACGGGAGGCAGCAGUGGGGAAUCUUCCGCAAUGGACGAAAGUCUGACGGAGCAACGCCGCGUGAGUGAUGACGGCCUUCGGGUUGUAAAGCUCUGUUAAUCGGGACGAAAGGCCUUCUUGCGAAUAGUGAGAAGGAUUGACGGUACCGGAAUAGAAAGCCACGGCUAACUACGUG